rnacentral:rRNA from 1 species
AUUGAACGCUGGCGGCAGGCCUAACACAUGCAAGUCGAACGGUAACAGGAAGCAGCUUGCUGCUUCGCUGACGAGUGGCGGACGGGUGAGUAAUGUCUGGGAAGCUGCCUGAUGGAGGGGGAUAACUACUGGAAACGGUAGCUAAUACCGCAUAAUGUCGCAAGACCAAAGAGGGGGACCUUCGGGCCUCUUGCCAUCGGAUGUGCCCCGAUGGGAUUAGCUUGUUGGUGGGGUAACGGCUCACCAAGGCGACGAUCCCUAGCUGGUCUGAGAGGAUGACCAGCCACACUGGAACUGAGACACGGUCCAGACUCCUACGGGAGGCAGCAGUGGGGAAUAUUGCACAAAGGGCGCAAGCCUGAUGCAGCCAUGCCGCGUGUAUGAAGAAGGCCUUCGGGUUGUAAAGUACUUUCAGCGGGGAGGAAGGGAGUAAAGUUAAUACCUUUGCUCAUUGACGUUACCCGCAGAAGAAGCACCGGCUAACUCCGUG